rnacentral:rRNA from 1 species
CAGCAGCCGCGGUAAUACGUAGGUCCCGAGCGUUGUCCGGAUUUAUUGGGCGUAAAGCGAGCGCAGGCGGUUAGAUAAGUCUGAAGUUAAAGGCUGUGGCUUAACCAUAGUACGCUUUGGAAACUGUUUAACUUGAGUGCAAGAGGGGAGAGUGGAAUUCCAUGUGUAGCGGUGAAAUGCGUAGAUAUAUGGAGGAACACCGGUGGCGAGAGCGGCUCUCUGGCUUGUAACUGACGCUGAGGCUCGAAAGCGUGGGGAGCAAACAGGAUUAGAUACCCCAGUAGUCCCUGUCUCUUAUACA